UUAGGUAAAACCAAUGUAGGACUCACACUUUGAAAAUAAAACUCACAUAAAGUGGUGAAACAUACAUUAAUUUCACCCGA
rnacentral:pre_miRNA from 1 species